rnacentral:rRNA from 1 species
AGUGAACGCUGGCGGUAGGCCUAACACAUGCAAGUCGAACGGCAGCACAGUAAGAGCUUGCUCUUACGGGUGGCGAGUGGCGGACGGGUGAGGAAUACAUCGGAAUCUACUUUUUCGUGGGGGAUAACGUAGGGAAACUUACGCUAAUACCGCAUACGACCUACGGGUGAAAGCAGGGGAUCUUCGGACCUUGCGCGAUUGAAUGAGCCGAUGUCGGAUUAGCUAGUUGGCGGGGUAAAGGCCCACCAAGGCGAAGAUGCGUAGCUGGUAUGAGAGGAUGAUCAGGCACACUGGAACUGAGACACGGUCCAGACUCCUACGGGAGGCAGCAGUGGGGAAUAUUGGACAAUGGGCGCAAGCCUGAUCCAGCCAUACCGCGUGGGUGAAGAAGGCCUUCGGGUUGUAAAGCCCUUUUGUUGGGAAAGAAAAGCAGCAGGUUAAUACCCCGCUGUUCUGACGGUACCCAAAGAAUAAGCACCGGCUAACUUCGUG